GGCUCAGAUUGAACGCUAGCGGGAUGCCUUACACAUGCAAGUCGAACGGCAGCACGGACUUCGGUCUGGUGGCGAGUGGCGAACGGGUGAGUAAUGUAUCGGAACGUGCCUAGUAGCGGGGGAUAACUACGCGAAAGCGUAGCUAAUACCGCAUACGCCCUACGGGGGAAAGCAGGGGAUCGCAAGACCUUGCACUAUUAGAGCGGCCGAUAUCGGAUUAGCUAGUUGGUGGGGUAACGGCUCACCAAGGCGACGAUCCGUAGCUGGUUUGAGAGGACGACCAGCCACACUGGGACUGAGACACGGCCCAGACUCCUACGGGAGGCAGCAGUGGGGAAUUUUGGACAAUGGGGGAAACCCUGAUCCAGCCAUCCCGCGUGUGCGAUGAAGGCCUUCGGGUUGUAAAGCACUUUUGGCAGGAAAGAAACGUCAUGGGUUAAUACCCCGUGAAACUGACGGUACCUGCAGAAUAAGCACCGGCUAACUACGUGCCAGCAGCCGCGGUAAUACGUAGGGUGCAAGCGUUAAUCGGAAUUACUGGGCGUAAAGCGUGCGCAGGCGGUUCGGAAAGAAAGAUGUGAAAUCCCAGAGCUUAACUUUGGAACUGCAUUUUUAACUACCGAGCUAGAGUGUGUCAGAGGGAGGUGGAAUUCCGCGUGUAGCAGUGAAAUGCGUAGAUAUGCGGAGGAACACCGAUGGCGAAGGCAGCCUCCUGGGAUAA
rnacentral:rRNA from 1 species